GUUAAGCGACUAAGCGUACACGGUGGAUGCCCUGGCAGUCAGAGGCGAUGAAGGACGUGCUAAUCUGCGAUAAGCGUCGGUAAGGUGAUAUGAACCGUUAUAACCGGCGAUUUCCGAAUGGGGAAACCCAGUGUGAUUCGUCACACUAUCAUUAACUGAAUCCAUAGGUUAAUGAGGCGAACCGGGGGAACUGAAACAUCUAAGUACCCCGAGGAAAAGAAAUCAACCGAGAUUCCCCCAGUAGCGGCGAGCGAACGGGGAGCAGCCCAGAGCCUGAAUCAGUGUGUGUGUUAGUGGAAGCGUCUGGAAAGGCGCGCGAUACAGGGUGACAGCCCCGUACACAAAAAUGCACAUGCUGUGAGCUCGAUGAGUAGGGCGGGACACGUGGUAUCCUGUCUGAAUAUGGGGGGACCAUCCUCCAAGGCUAAAUACUCCUGACUGACCGAUAGUGAACCAGUACCGUGAGGGAAAGGCGAAAAGAACCCCGGCGAGGGGAGUGAAAAAGAACCUGAAACCGUGUACGUACAAGCAGUGGGAGCACGCUUAGGCGUGUGACUGCGUACCUUUUGUAUAAUGGGUCAGCGACUUAUAUUCUGUAGCAAGGUUAACCGAAUAGGGGAGCCGAAGGGAAACCGAGUCUUAACUGGGCGUUAAGUUGCAGGGUAUAGACCCGAAACCCGGUGAUCUAGCCAUGGGCAGGUUGAAGGUUGGGUAACACUAACUGGAGGACCGAACCGACUAAUGUUGAAAAAUUAGCGGAUGACUUGUGGCUGGGGGUGAAAGGCCAAUCAAACCGGGAGAUAGCUGGUUCUCCCCGAAAGCUAUUUAGGUAGCGCCUCGUGAAUUCAUCUCCGGGGGUAGAGCACUGUUUCGGCAAGGGGGUCAUCCCGACUUACCAACCCGAUGCAAACUGCGAAUACCGGAGAAUGUUAUCACGGGAGACACACGGCGGGUGCUAACGUCCGUCGUGAAGAGGGAAACAACCCAGACCGCCAGCUAAGGUCCCAAAGUCAUGGUUAAGUGGGAAACGAUGUGGGAAGGCCCAGACAGCCAGGAUGUUGGCUUAGAAGCAGCCAUCAUUUAAAGAAAGCGUAAUAGCUCACUGGUCGAGUCGGCCUGCGCGGAAGAUGUAACGGGGCUAAACCAUGCACCGAAGCUGCGGCAGCGACACUGUGUGUUGUUGGGUAGGGGAGCGUUCUGUAAGCCUGCGAAGGUGUGCUGUGAGGCAUGCUGGAGGUAUCAGAAGUGCGAAUGCUGACAUAAGUAACGAUAAAGCGGGUGAAAAGCCCGCUCGCCGGAAGACCAAGGGUUCCUGUCCAACGUUAAUCGGGGCAGGGUGAGUCGACCCCUAAGGCGAGGCCGAAAGGCGUAGUCGAUGGGAAACAGGUUAAUAUUCCUGUACUUGGUGUUACUGCGAAGGGGGGACGGAGAAGGCUAUGUUGGCCGGGCGACGGUUGUCCCGGUUUAAGCGUGUAGGCUGGUUUUCCAGGCAAAUCCGGAAAAUCAAGGCUGAGGCGUGAUGACGAGGCACUACGGUGCUGAAGCAACAAAUGCCCUGCUUCCAGGAAAAGCCUCUAAGCAUCAGGUAACAUCAAAUCGUACCCCAAACCGACACAGGUGGUCAGGUAGAGAAUACCAAGGCGCUUGAGAGAACUCGGGUGAAGGAACUAGGCAAAAUGGUGCCGUAACUUCGGGAGAAGGCACGCUGAUAUGUAGGUGAAGUCCCUCGCGGAUGGAGCUGAAAUCAGUCGAAGAUACCAGCUGGCUGCAACUGUUUAUUAAAAACACAGCACUGUGCAAACACGAAAGUGGACGUAUACGGUGUGACGCCUGCCCGGUGCCGGAAGGUUAAUUGAUGGGGUCAGCGCAAGCGAAGCUCUUGAUCGAAGCCCCGGUAAACGGCGGCCGUAACUAUAACGGUCCUAAGGUAGCGAAAUUCCUUGUCGGGUAAGUUCCGACCUGCACGAAUGGCGUAAUGAUGGCCAGGCUGUCUCCACCCGAGACUCAGUGAAAUUGAACUCGCUGUGAAGAUGCAGUGUACCCGCGGCAAGACGGAAAGACCCCGUGAACCUUUACUAUAGCUUGACACUGAACAUUGAGCCUUGAUGUGUAGGAUAGGUGGGAGGCUUUGAAGUGUGGACGCCAGUCUGCAUGGAGCCGACCUUGAAAUACCACCCUUUAAUGUUUGAUGUUCUAACGUUGACCCGUGAUCCGGGUUGCGGACAGUGUCUGGUGGGUAGUUUGACUGGGGCGGUCUCCUCCUAAAGAGUAACGGAGGAGCACGAAGGUUGGCUAAUCCUGGUCGGACAUCAGGAGGUUAGUGCAAUGGCAUAAGCCAGCUUGACUGCGAGCGUGACGGCGCGAGCAGGUGCGAAAGCAGGUCAUAGUGAUCCGGUGGUUCUGAAUGGAAGGGCCAUCGCUCAACGGAUAAAAGGUACUCCGGGGAUAACAGGCUGAUACCGCCCAAGAGUUCAUAUCGACGGCGGUGUUUGGCACCUCGAUGUCGGCUCAUCACAUCCUGGGGCUGAAGUAGGUCCCAAGGGUAUGGCUGUUCGCCAUUUAAAGUGGUACGCGAGCUGGGUUUAGAACGUCGUGAGACAGUUCGGUCCCUAUCUGCCGUGGGCGCUGGAGAACUGAGGGGGGCUGCUCCUAGUACGAGAGGACCGGAGUGGACGCAUCACUGGUGUUCGGGUUGUCAUGCCAAUGGCACUGCCCGGUAGCUAAAUGCGGAAGAGAUAAGUGCUGAAAGCAUCUAAGCACGAAACUUGCCCCGAGAUGAGUUCUCCCUGACUCCUUGAGAGUCCUGAAGGAACGUUGAAGACGACGACGUUGAUAGGCCGGGUGUGUAAGCGCAGCGAUGCGUUGAGCUAACCGGUACUAAUGAACCGUGAGGCUUAACCUUACAACGCCGAAGGUGUUU
rnacentral:rRNA from 1 species